rnacentral:rRNA from 1 species
GAGCCCAAACCAGAAACUUGUUUCUGGGGUUGCGGAUAGAUCAUAAAAGAAGAGGUAUCUUAAUCGAAGAGGGCUGGAACGCCCUACCAUAGAAGGUAAUAGUCCUGUAGAUAAAAAGAGAAAACUUCGAGAUCUAAUCCAGAGUACCACGAGACACGUGAAACCUUGUGGGAAGCAGGGAGGACCACCUCCCAAGGCUAAAUACUACCUAGUGACCGAUAGUGAAGCAGUACCGUGA